rnacentral:rRNA from 1 species
GGUGAGUAAUGCUUAGGAACAUGCCUUUGUGUGGGGGAUAACCAUUGGAAACGAUGGCUAAUACCGCAUGAUGUCUACGGACCAAAGGGGGCUUUCGGGCUCCCGCGCAAAGAGUGGCCUAAGUGAGAUUAGCUAGUUGGUGGGGUAAAGGCUCACCAAGGCGACGAUCUCUAGCUGUUCUGAGAGGAAGAUCAGCCACACUGGGACUGAGACACGGCCCAGACUCCUACGGGAGGCAGCAGUGGGGGAUAUUGCACAAUGGGGGAAACCCUGAUGCAGCCAUGCCGCGUGUGUGAAGAAGGCCUUCGGGUUGUAAAGCACUUUCAGUUGUGAGGAAAGGUUAGUAGUUAAUACCUGCUAGCUGUGACGUUAGCAACAGAAGAAGCACCGGCUAACUCCGUGCCAGCAGCCGCGGUAAUACGGAGGGUGCGAGCGUUAAUCGGAAUUACUGGGCGUAAAGCGCACGCAGGCGGUUUGUCAAGCUAGAUGUGAAAGCCCCGGGCUUAACCUGGGAAUUGCAUUUAGAACUGGCAGACUAGAGUCUUGGAGAGGGGAGUGGAAUUCCAGGUGUAGCGGUGAAAUGCGUAGAUAUCUGGAGGAACAUCAGUGGCGAAGGCGACUCCCUGGCCAAAGACUGACGCUCAUGUGCGAAAGUGUGGGUAGCGAACAGGAUUAGAUACCCUGGUAG